rnacentral:rRNA from 1 species
GGCUCAGAUUGAACGCUGGCGGCAUGCCUUACACAUGCAAGUCGAACGGCAGGCACGGGGCAACCUGGUGGCGAGUGGCGAACGGGUGAGUAAUGCAUCGGAACGUGCCAUUGAGUGGGGGAUAACGUAGCGAAAGUUGCGCUAAUACCGCAUAUUCUGUGAGCAGGAAAGCAGGGGACCGCAAGGCCUUGCGCUCUUUGAGCGGCCGAUGUCAGAUUAGCUAGUUGGUGAGGUAACGGCUUACCAAGGCGACGAUCUGUAGCGGGUCUGAGAGGAUGAUCCGCCACACUGGAACUGAGACACGGUCCAGACUCCUACGGGAGGCAGCAGUGGGGAAUUUUGGACAAUGGGCGCAAGCCUGAUCCAGCCAUGCCGCGUGAGUGAAGAAGGCCUUCGGGUUGUAAAGCUCUUUCGGCCGGGAAGAAAUCGCAUGGGUUAAUACCCUGUGUGGAUGACGGUACCGGAAUAAGAAGCACCGGCUAACUACGUG